rnacentral:rRNA from 1 species
CUUACGACUCUCGGCAAUGGAUAUCUCGGCUCUCGCAUCGAUGAAGAACGUAGCGAAAUGCGAUACUUAGUGUGAAUUGCAGAAUCCCGUGAAUCAUCGAGUCUUUGAACGCAAGUUGCGCCCGAAGCNUCGGCCAAGGGCACGUCUGCCUGGGCGUCGCAA